UACGUAGGUCCCGAGCGUUAUCCGGAUUUAUUGGGCGUAAAGCGAGCGCAGGCGGUUAGAUAAGUCUGAAGUUAAAGGCUGUGGCUUAACCAUAGUACGCUUUGGAAACUGUUUAACUUGAGUGCAGAAGGGGAGAGUGGAAUUCCAUGUGUAGCGGUGAAACGCGUAGAUAUAUGGAGGAACACCGGUGGCGAAAGCGGCUCUCUGGACUGUAACUGACGCUGAGGCUCGAAAGCGUGGGGAGCAAACAGGA
rnacentral:rRNA from 1 species